rnacentral:rRNA from 1 species
UACGGAGGGUGCAAGCGUUGUCCGGAUUUAUUGGGUUUAAAGGGUGCGUAGGCGGGGUUUUAAGUCAGGUUUGAAAGUUAGCUGCUCAACAGUUAGACGUGGCUGGAUACUGGGUUUCUGGAAUGGGUUGGCGGCUGCCGGAACGGGUCAUGUAGCGGUCAAAUGCAUAGAUAUGACCCAGAACACCGAUUGCGAAGGCAGGCAGCUACGACCUGAUUGACACUGAGGCACGAGAGCAUGGGGAGCGAACAGG